rnacentral:rRNA from 1 species
CCCUUUGCCAUUCAGCCUAUAUACCGCCGUCUCCAGCUUACCUUGUGAAAGCCAAAAAGUAAGCGAAAUAGCUCCUACAGCUAGAAA